UCUUUUCUUCUUACAGUGAAGUGAAGGAAUAACUGAGUCUUGAGAUAGCAUUUUGUGUCCAGUGACUCUAAUAGACAAAUUUGUUAAUUUGCACCAAAAGGUAAAUUGAUUCUUAGCCCAGAGUGUGACUCUUCUGUGCCAGCUUUUUAAAGACAGAGGUUAACAAAGCUCUUCAAACACACCAAACACUCUUCUCUAAUACAAUUCCACCUCCAUCUAUAAGGACAAUUCUCUGGCUGGUUUCUGAAUUCUGGUGCUCCCUAUUUAAAUACCCAUGGGAAGUACGAGCAGUCUCCUACUCAUUUCUUAUUUGAGAAUUUAAUAGCAACAGUUAAAUGAUAAAUACUAUAAGAAAGUGGGCUGGGGAAGUGGGAGGAAGAUGAAAAAAUGACAAAAAUAUUGGGAAAGAGAGAAGCUUAAAACUUCUUGUAGGACAUCACUGUAGCUCUUCUGACUCUUUAUUUGACUCUUGCUUCUCUUAAGGAUCCAAAUAUUUACAACUGUAAUUGUCAGCCAGAGAAGUGGUAAAUAUCAAUAUCUAAUAGCUGGUGUCCUUCUCCCUGUUCUCCCCUAUUGGAUAUUUCCUAGGAAAUGCUGUCACUGAACAAACCCCACAUCAGUGACUUCUUAUUUCCCCAGCUCCUCCUUGGAUGUGCCUUUCUCAUCCCCACAAAAACUCCUUUGCAUUUCAGGAUUGGCUGGCUGAUCUUUCUUUUUGCUGGCAGCUCUUGCUGCUCUCAUUAGUACAUGAAAGUCUGAUUGUGCUGGGCAGCUCUGUCCUGACAGAGCAACUCUGAAAUUAGAUGUGAAGUGCAACAUCACUAAUUCUCCUUUUUAGAAUUAACUUAAAGGAAAAGAAGAAAACCACAAAAACAUAGGACUGCAGCCUUGCCAUUUCUUUUUCCUGAGAGGAUCAUAAAUUAUUUAAAGUUUCUUCAUCUUCAGAAUGCCCAGAUGAAUGCUCUGAGAUAUUCAAAGGCCAGAAGCUGAAAGAUUAUACAGGCAGCAACCUGUACUCAACAUGGAGAAAAAUAACAAGCAGGCAGGAAAAAAUAACCAGCAUCAAAUGGCAAAAUCAACAUUUUUGUUCAUCUUGUAAUGAAUACUGUGAGCAAGCCAAGACCCAAUAAAAAACAGAGGUUUUUAUUUCUCAAGUAGCAAUGACAUCAUCAAUAGAUGGGGAGAGAAGGCUCCUAAAGAAUAAGAAAUAAAUUCAAAUGGAAGCUCUUUAGGUUUUUCAGCAUGCAUUAAUUACUUGGGUUCAGGGACCAGUCCCAGAAUUGGCUGCAAUUUGUUAAUGCAGCAGGGAGUGGGUGAUGGUUUUUGGCUCUGAGUGAGCACUGUCCUCCAGUGCAGAUGUGGGGCUGUGAACAUUCACACCACCCUGUGUGCAUGGCACUGCUGCCAUCUGGGCCACCACACAGAAUUUUGGGGCUCUCAGACCCCUGUGCAAGGCUGUGACCUCAGCCCAGUGUGGGGAUGGACAGGGAGGAACCAGAAGAGAGAAUAAGGAGAUGUGCAGAGAAUUUUAUUGGACUCAUCACUCUCCCAACUCCCUGAGAGGAGGGGGCAGCCAGGGUGGGGUCAGGCAACAGUGACAGGAGGAGGGGACAUGGCCCCAGGCUGGGAAUUUGGGGAAUUUCUUCCUGUCAAACAUCGGGAAAAGCUGCCUGGGCAGGUGGUGGAGUCACCACCCCUGGGGGUGAUUCCUGGACAUUUAGUGCCAGAAGUCUGGGUGACACUGUUGGGUCACAGGCUGGGUCUGGUGGCCUCAGAGGUCUUUUCCAACCUAAUUGAUUCUGUCAAAGCCUUCCAGGGUCUGAUGGGCUCUGGGGCUGCCUGGCUGAGCCUGCAGGAGUGGGCA